rnacentral:rRNA from 1 species
GACGAACGCUGGCGGCGUGCCUAAUACAUGCAAGUCGAGCGCAGGAAGCCGUCUGAACCCUUCGGGGGGACGACGGUGGAAUGAGCGGCGGACGGGUGAGUAACACGUAAAGAACCUGCCCAUAGGUCUGGGAUAACCACGAGAAAUCGGGGCUAAUACCGGAUGUGUCAUCGGACCGCAUGGUCCGCUGGUGAAAGGCGCUCCGGCGUCGCCCAUGGAUGGCUUUGCGGUGCAUUAGCUAGUUGGUGGGGUAACGGCCCACCAAGGCGACGAUGCAUAGCCGACCUGAGAGGGUGAUCGGCCACACUGGGACUGAGACACGGCCCAGACUCCUACGGGAGGCAGCAGUAGGGAAUCUUCCACAAUGGACGAAAGCCUGAUGGAGCAACGCCGCGUGAACGAUGAAGGCUUUCGGGUCGUAAAGUUCUGUUGUAAGGGAAGAACAAGUGCCGCAGGCAAUGGCGGCACCUUGACGGUACCUUGCGAGAAAGCCACGGCUAACUACGUGCCAGCCGCCGCCGUAAGAC